GUAGCGUAUAUUAAAGUUGUUGCAGUUAAAAAGCUCGUAGUUGGAUUUCUGGCGAACCGUUGCGGCCCGUGCUCGUUUCGGUCGUGUGUGCCGUGUCGUGUUUGUCAUCCUUCCAGAAAGCUGCGUCUACCAUUCACUUGGCCGGACGUACGCGAUCUGGAUCGAUUACUUUGAAAAAAUUAGAGUGUUUAAAGCAGGCUUAUGCUGUGAAUACAUUAGCAUGGAAUAAUAAUUUAGGACUUCGGUUCUAUUUUGUUGGUUUCUAGGACUGAAGUAAUGAUUGAUAGGGACAGUUGGGGGUGCUAGUAUUCCGCGGCCAGAGGUGAAAUUCUUGGAUUCUCGGAAGACUAACUACUG
rnacentral:rRNA from 1 species